UACGGAGGGUGCAAGCGUUAAUCGGAAUUACUGGGCGUAAAGCGUGCGCAGGCGGUUUGUUAAGUCUGCUGUGAAAUCCCCGAGCUCAACUUGGGAAUUGCAGUGGAUACUGGCAAGCUGGAGUACGGUAGAGGAAGGUGGAAUUCCCGGUGUAGCAGUGAAAUGCGUAGAGAUCGGGAGGAGCACCAGUGGCGAAGGCGGCCUUCUGGACCAGUACUGACGCUCAUGCACGAAAGCGUGGGGAGCAAACAGG
rnacentral:rRNA from 1 species